AACGUAGGAGACAAACGUUAUCCGGAGUUACUGGGCGUAAAGGGCGUGUAGGCGGUUAGUUAAGUCUGGCGUGAAAGCUCUCGGCUAAACCGGGAGAGGUCGUUGGAUACUGGCUGACUAGAGGACGGUAGAGGCGUGUGGAAUUCCGGGUGUAGUGGUGAAAUGCGUAGAGAUCCGGAGGAACACCAGUGGCGAAGGCGGGUUGCUGGGCUGACACUGACGCUGAUUGUGCGAAAGCUAGGGGAGCGAACGGG
rnacentral:rRNA from 1 species